rnacentral:tRNA from 1 species
GGGCGUAUAGCUCAGUUGGUAGAGCACUGCCCUUACAAGGCAUAGGUCGGGGGUUCGAGUCCCUCUGCGCCCA